rnacentral:rRNA from 1 species
UAUGUAGGGUGCAAGCGUUAAUCGGAAUUACUGGGCGUAAAGCGUGCGCAGGCGGUGAUGUAAGACAGAUGUGAAAUCCCCGGGCUCAACCUGGGAACUGCAUUUGUGACUGCAUCGCUGGAGUGCGGCAGAGGGGGAUGGAAUUCCGCGUGUAGCAGUGAAAUGCGUAGAUAUGCGGAGGAACACCGAUGGCGAAGGCAAUCCCCUGGGCCUGCACUGACGCUCAUGCACGAAAGCGUGGGGAGCAAACAGG